UGCUAAGGUUAGAUCUAGGAUUAGGGAAGGUUUUGGUCCAUCCAUUGCUCAUGUUUGUGCAUACCAUGGCCAACUAGAUUGCAUGCGUGAGUUACUGUUGGUGGGGGCUGAUCCAAUGCAGCGGAUGAUGAAGGUGAAUCUGUGCUACACAGAGCCAUUGCCAAGAACUCCAAAGAGUGUGCUAUUGUCAUAUUGGAAAAUGGGGGUUGCAGAUCUAUGGGUCUUCUUAACUCAAAAAAUUUGACAUAAGAACUAAUGCUUCUCUGAUGAGAUGAUCUUAAUCUUUUGUGAAGUUGUUGUAGUCUUGACAUGUAUAUGGUUCAUGGACUAGGUAAUGUAGAACUAAUUCCCAGCUAGAUGACUAGGGAUUAAUUCCAUAACAGGAUCACAGGUGCUGUCGGUUGUUAGAUUGAACAAAAGAGAUGCCGCAAGUAUUGGACUUGUC